rnacentral:misc_RNA from 1 species
GAGAAACAGGGAAUGGGCCAAUGGGUGAGCUUGACGAGUUUUCCCCUGAUUUGACUUUUUAUUCUUUAUUUUGACAAUUCUCGAAUAUUGGUUUUUGGGGGGGUGGGGGAGCAGUGCGCUGCUCGAGGUUGCUCUAGUUGUGAAAAUGAGAACAUGACUUCUGAAUUCAUAAUAUAGAACAGCGUAAACAUCUUUCCUUAACUUUAUACAGAGAAGAAUGCUAUUGUUUGAAUUUGAUAUACCUUGUGUAUCAAUUUAGACUUUCAUGCUCUAGGAGAGGACUUUCUUUGUCGUCAAUACCCUAGUUGAGACCUGUUGAGUGAAAAGAGAGUUUUUCUUGUGUACGGUGUCCCUCACAUGGUUCCUAGACAAUAAUGUGUUCUAUUGUCUUUUUGAAUAAACUGGGUGAACUAUAGAUUUGAGUACAUUAGUUUGUUUCUAGCCUGGAAAUUAACUGUACAAGAGUGUCAUUGUACACUAAUUUAGAUGACUUAUAUGCUUAAAUUUUGGAUUUUGUGAUUUUUUUUUUCUGGAUCCUAGCUUUCUUUUGGGAUUUGAUAAUGGAAAAGACCACCUAACUUGUACUGGUUCACUGGAAUAACUUUGUUUUCCUUCGCAUAAAUACUCCCUAAAUGAUCUAGCCUUACUUUUAAUUUAAAGUCUUCAUCUUUAUGUAAGGAGGAGAAGGAUCACCUCAAUUACUGAUGCUGUAAGUAUAUUAAAACAAAAGGUUGUGCCCUUGGGAAAUAUUGGCAUAUCCUACAAUUAAAUGGGCUCAUCAAGAUGCAAGCACGAGGGAAAACUAUUCUCAUUCAAAUGGCUAACUUUUGUACCAGAGAAAUUGUGCACUUGGUUGAAAGUUUAAGUGGAAAAGACCUUUUGAAAGGUUAGAUUGAAUGUUCGGAUUUACAAUUGGUCAGAUUUAGUAGUUACUGGUUGGACUUGCUAAUGGUUUGUUCACUCUGUUCUGUUUCCGUGUGUAUGUUUUUUAGCCUAGACCUUGAAAAGGCAUAUUCAGUUUUGACUUGGAUCUAGGUUCCAACAUUUUGAGAUUAGUGAAAUGGAUUUGGGAGUUUCCUUAUUUUGUUUAGUUGCUUCUGGUAUUCAAAAGUCUAAUAUCUGGAAUUAUUUUUUUUUAGUUUGUAGUCGAGGACCAUAGAGUUGAGAUGAUCUAUAAGCAGUAGUUCGAUAAUGGGAAAGCAAAAAAUGUACAGAUGUCCUAUCUAGAGUCCCAUGCAGGUGCAGAACUAGAACUUCAAGAUCAGAGGGCUUGAAAUGAAGGUGACAAUGGAAAAACUUUAAAUGUAAUGGGGGGAAUGGAAAUUUUCUGGGUUUUAAGGGGGCCAAAGGUGAAUGUAAUAAUGGAAUUUGAAAAUUUUCAAGAGCCAGGUUAAGAUGUUUAAGGGGCUAAAAGUGAGGAUAAUGGUGUAUUUUCGUCUUGGGCAACAUGGAUAUGCAUGGAGGUAAAUUUGUGUCUGCCUGUCUGUUCUUUUCCUGCCAUCUCUUCUGUGUUAUGCCUUGUUUUCUACUCAUCUUUAUUAUCUCUGUAUAGUUUGUUCUUCUGUGCGGUGCAUGUGAAACGGCUAUUCUCAUAAUUAUGUCCUUAUUUACAUUUUACAUGAAUGUAGUUAUCACAUUACCCUGUAAUUGGACAAGCUGUUCCUUCAGAUUCUUUGUUUUCAUGUCAAUAUCAUAAUAUAGUAUUCCAUGAGAGGAGUACUUCAUAUGACUUGACUGUUUGUUGUCAGAGAGCUUGGCCAAGUUCCCUCGG